rnacentral:rRNA from 1 species
CUACGGGAGGCAGCAGUGAGGAAUAUUGCACAAUGGAGGAAACUCUGAUGCAGCAACGCCGCGUGGAGGAUGACGCAUUUCGGUGUGUAAACUCCUUUUAUAUGUCAAGAAAAUGACGGUAGCAUAUGAAUAAGCACCGGCUAACUCCGUGCCAGCAGCCGCGGUAAUACGGAGGGUGCAAGCGUUACUCGGAAUCACUGGGCGUAAAGGACGCGUAGGCGGGUUGGAAAGUCAGGUGUGAAAUCCUACAGCUUAACUGUAGAACUGCGCUUGAAACUUCUAAUCUAGAGUAUGGGAGGGGGAGAUGGAAUUAGUGGUGUAGGGGUAAAAUCCGUAGAUAUCACUAGGAAUACCUAAAGCGAAGGCGAUCUCCUGGAACAUUACUGACGCUAAGGCGUGAAAGCGUGGGGAGCAAACAGGAUUAGAUACCCCGGUAGUC